UGCAAGUCGAGCGGCAGCGGAAAGUAGCUUGCUACUUUGCCGGCGAGCGGCGGACGGGUGAGUAAUGUCUGGGAAACUGCCUGAUGGAGGGGGAUAACUACUGGAAACGGUAGCUAAUACCGCAUGACCUCGCAAGAGCAAA
rnacentral:rRNA from 1 species